rnacentral:rRNA from 1 species
GAUGAACGCUAGCGGCAGGCUUAAUACAUGCAAGUCGUGGGGCAGCGCAGUGUAGCAAUACAUGGGCGGCGACCGGCAAACGGGUGCGGAACACGUACACAACCUUCCUUCAAAUGGGGAAUAGCCCAGGGGAAACUUGGAUUAAUACCCCGUAACAUUAUGAGGUGGCAUCACUUUAUAAUUAUAGCUCCGGCGUUUGGAGAUGGGUGUGCGGCUGAUUAGGUAGUUGGCGGGGAACGGCCCACCAAGCCUUCGAUCAGUAACUGGUGUGAGAGCACGACCAGUCACACGGGCACUGAGACACGGGCCCGACUCUACGGGAGGCAGCAGUAAGGAAUAUUGGGCAAUGGACGCAAGUCUGACCCAG